rnacentral:rRNA from 1 species
CCCAGACUCCUACGGGAGGCAGCAGUGGGGAAUAUUGCACAAUGGGGGAAACCCUGAUGCAGCGACGCCGCGUGAAGGAUGAAGUAUUUCGGUAUGUAAACUUCUAUCAGCAGGGAAGAAAAUGACGGUACCUGAGUAAGAAGCCCCGGCUAACUACGUGCCAGCAGCCGCGGUAAUACGUAGGGGGCAAGCGUUAUCCGGAUUUACUGGGUGUAAAGGGAGCGUAGACGGCAGUGCAAGUCUGGAGUGAAAGGCGGGGGCUCAACCCCCGGACUGCUCUGGAAACUGUACGGCUGGAGUGCAGGAGAGGUAAGUGGAAUUCCUAGUGUAGCGGUGAAAUGCGUAGAUAUUAGGAGGAACACCAGUGGCGAAGGCGGCUUACUGGACUGUAACUGACGCUGAGGCACGAAAGUGUGGGGAGCAAACAGGAUUAGAUACCCCCGUAU